AGAGUUUGAUCCUGGCUCAGGACGAACGCUGGCGGCGUGCUUAACACAUGCAAGUCGAACGGAAAGGCCCUUCGGGGUACUCGAGUGGCGAACGGGUGAGUAACACGUGGGUGAUCUGCCCUGCACUUUGGGAUAAGCCUGGGAAACUGGGUCUAAUACCGAAUAUGACCAUGCGCCUCCUGGUGUGUGGUGGAAAGCUUUUGCGGUGUGGGAUGGGCCCGCGGCCUAUCAGCUUGUUGGUGGGGUAAUGGCCUACCAAGGCGACGACGGGUAGCCGGCCUGAGAGGGUGACCGGCCACACUGGGACUGAGAUACGGCCCAGACUCCUACGGGAGGCAGCAGUGGGGAAUAUUGCACAAUGGGCGCAAGCCUGAUGCAGCGACGCCGCGUGAGGGAUGACGGCCUUCGGGUUGUAAACCUCUUUCAGUAGGGACGAAGCGAAAGUGACGGUACCUACAGAAGAAGGACCGGCCAACUACGUGCCAGCAGCCGCGGUAAUACGUAGGGUCCGAGCGUUGUCCGGAAUUACUGGGCGUAAAGAGCUCGUAGGUGGUUUGUCGCGUUGUUCGUGAAAACUCACAGCUUAACUGUGGGCGUGCGGGCGAUACGGGCAGACUUGAGUACUGCAGGGGAGACUGGAAUUCCUGGUGUAGCGGUGGAAUGCGCAGAUAUCAGGAGGAACACCGGUGGCGAAGGCGGGUCUCUGGGCAGUAACUGACGCUGAGGAGCGAAAGCGUGGGGAGCGAACAGGAUUAGAUACCCUGGUAGUCC
rnacentral:rRNA from 1 species